rnacentral:rRNA from 1 species
UCGGGUUGUAAAGCACUUUUGUCCGGAAAGAAAACUUCGGGGCUAAUACCUCUGGAGGAUGACGGUACCGGAAGAAUAAGCACCGGCUAACUACGUGCCAGCAGCGCGGUAAUCGUAGGGUGCGAGCGUUAAUCGGAAUUACUGGGCGUAAAGCGUGCGCAGGCGGUCUGUUAAGACAGAUGUGAAAUCCCCGGGCUUAACCUGGGAACUGCAUUUGUGACUGGCAGGCUAGAGUAUGGCAGAGGGGGGUAGAAUUCCACGUGUAGCAGUGAAAUGCGUAGAGAUGUGGAGGAAUACCGAUGGCGAAGGCAGCCCCCUGGGCCAAUACUGACGCUCAUGCACGAAAGCGUGGGGAGCAAACAGGAUUAGAUACCCUGGUAGUCCACGCCCUAAACGAUGUCAACUAGUUGUUGGGGAUUCAUUUCCUUAGUAACGUAGCUAACGCGUGAAGUUGACCGCCUGGGGAGUACGGUCGCAAGAUUAAAACUCAAAGGAAUUGACGGGGACCCGCACAAGCGGUGGAUGAAGGUGGAUUAAUUCGAUGCAACGCGAAAAACCUUACCUACCCUUGACAUGGUCGGAACCCUGGUG